GAUGAACGCUGGCGGCGUGCCUAAUACAUGCAAGUCGAGCGAACGGACGAGAAGCUUGCUUCUCCGAUGUUAGCGGCGGACGGGUGAGUAACACGUGGAUAACCUACCUAUAAGACUGGGAUAACUUCGGGAAACCGGAGCUAAUACCGGAUAGUAUUUUGAACCGCAUGGUUCAAAAGUGAAAGACGGUCUUGCUGUCACUUAUAGAUGGAUCCGCGCUGCAUUAGCUAGUUGGUAAGGUAACGGCUUACCAAGGCAACGAUGCAUAGCCGACCUGAGAGGGUGAUCGGCCACACUGGAACUGAGAAACGGUCCAGACUCCUACGGGAGGCAGCAGUAGGGAAUCUUCCGCAAUGGGCGAAAGCCUGACGGAGCAACGCCGCGUGAGUGAUGAAGGUCUUCGGAUCGUAAAACUCUGUUAUUAGGGAAGAACAUAUGUGUAAGUAACUGUGCACAUCUUGACGGUACCUAAUCAGAAAGCCACGGCUAACUACGUG
rnacentral:rRNA from 1 species